GGAUGGUUGAUCUAGAAGCCUAGGAUACUUGAGCCUUGUCAACCGGGAAACGUCGGUGCGAAUCCGACACCAUCCG
rnacentral:tRNA from 1 species